rnacentral:rRNA from 1 species
CCUACGGGUGGCAGCAGUGAGGAAUAUUGGUCAAUGGACGCAAGUCUGAACCAGCCAUGCCGCGUGCAGGAAGACGGCUCUAUGAGUUGUAAACUGCUUUUGUACGAGGGUAAACGCAGAUACGCGUAUCUGUCUGAAAGUAUCGUACGAAUAAGGAUCGGCCAAAUCCGUGCCAGCAGCCGCGGUAAUACGGAGGAUUCAAGCGUUAUCCGGAUUUAAUGGGUUUAAAGGGUGCGUAGGGGGUCGGAUAAGUUAGAGGUGAAAUCCCGAGGCUCAACUUACGAAUUGCCUGUGAUAAUGUUCGGCUAGAGUGUAGUUGAGGUAGGGGGAAUGUAUGGUGGAGCGGUGAAAUGCUUAGAGAUCA